GAAUCUGAAUCCUGUGUUGCCCUUUUUCUCAGGGCUACAAUGGACAAUUUCCUCAGUCUCUUAAUGUUGAUCAAUUUCCUCCCAGGUUUGGCAGUGGGUGACUCCAUCUCUCCUCGACAGACAGUGAUCCACAAGACAGAGGGGGACUGGGUGACUCUGAGCUGCUCCUAUUCAAAGAGCAGUAGCUCUGAUUACUAUCUCUACUGGUACCGACAGUACCCUCACCAGUCACCACAAUUCAUUCUCUACAGGGGAGAACAAUCAAGGAGUUCUGAGUAUAAGGCAGACUUUGCCAAAACCCGUUUCAGCUCUACUGUAAGGGGGUCAUCAGCUACAAUGAGGAUUGAACUCCUGACUGCCAGUGACUCGGCUGUCUAUUACUGUGCUUUGAGAAGAGCACUGUGUGAAAAGUCAUGGAGACGCCUUACAAAAACUUCAAGCACCCCCUCUUCCCAAGCUGUGACACAUAACAGGAAGUUCUGCUUGAUUUCAUCAGUACAGUAGCAUCGGUGAAACCACACU